AGUAUGAGGCUGCGUGCUAUUGUGGGCGGUAGUCGGCAAUAGCACGGCCGUGUCACGGAUCCGGGUCCGGGGCGUGACACUAUUGGUCUGUCAGGAUCUUCUCUCGAUCUAUUACACUGUUGAUACCUCUGGUGUCUCGGUAACUGGCUUUUUUUUUCUUCUUUUUUUUGGUUUCUGUUUUUUUUAACUUUUGCAGGGAGGAAGUGAGGGAACACUGAACUGAAUAUGGGUCAUGUGCUAGUUUUCUGCAAUGGAAUUGGAUUUUGAAAGAAGGUCUGGGAUUUCAGCAAAAAGAAGGUAUGGGAUUUUUUUUGUCCUCGUGAGAGGGGAGCUGGGAGACACCAAGUUCCGUCCAAUCAGUCAUAUGGACAAAAAAUAAUGUGAUGUGAAAUUUGGCUUGUAGACCGACUUAGUCAGUCAGGGGUCAUCUGUUCUGACUGGAGGUCAAUUGCAAGUCUUUCAAGUCAUGGGUCACCCAGCACCUCAUAAUUAUGAUAUGACCAAAUUAGAUUUGCCCAAAUUCUUUCCCAAAAGCACAA
rnacentral:lncRNA from 1 species